AGGCGAGCAGGCCCUAAGGCGGCACCGGCACUUGAAUUUAGAUCCACGACCAUCUUAUCUUUAUUAUUAUUAGUUUGCGAGGAAUCUUUAUUACGUACUCGUAAGGAAAAAUCUAACAAGGGGUGGUGACCGCGCGACCGUCAGCCUAGCAGGCCGCGUGUCUGGGCUCCCCCGCUCCACACACAUCCCACUGAUCCGUUAUCCCCUCACAUCUCAAAACCUAUCUCAACGGUUUCCGUUUUCGAGAUACUUUUUACAGCGGGGAGCGCGACGGUUGAGCGGCGGCUGCACGGUGGAGCAGCAUGCCGGGAGCGUCCGCUAGCGGCGCCGGAGAGGAGACCUCGAGGAAGCUCCUCUAACGGUUGCGACAAGGAUGCCCCGGAUGAAGCCGUGGACUGCACGUGAACCAGGUUGUUGAGCUGGAAUCAAGCGGAGGGAGGCGCCCACUCCCUAAGAAGGGUAGCGUCGGCGAGCAGUGGAGGAGAAGCGGCGGCCGGCGCGAGACGCGCUACUUCUGGCGCCCGUCGCACGGCACCCUCUGGCCCUGGUGACAAACCGAGCAUGGUACGAAAGCGGAACCCGAAGUUACUGACACAGCUUUAUCUCCAAAGAGUACAACCAGGUCUACUUCUAGAGUGGAGAAGCCUAGCACCUCGGAUAACCCGCAAUGGAAGGCUGAAGUUGAAAAGGGUAAAGGCAAGCUGGAAGAAUAUGAUCAACUGAAACCUGUUGGAUUGAUCUCCAGAGACCACUUGGACCCCAACGGGUCCGAUGGGCCUCUUCUCACACGCGCCUUGAUCAGGGGCGCUCCAGCCCGUUCAUAGCUGGUGGGCCCCCGUCGCACUGCGCUAUAAAGAGAAGGUGGGGGCCAGCGGCACACAACACCAGGUUCACCAUGCCGCCGCCACUCCACCAACAGACCAAAACGCUAGCCGAUCUAGUGGAAGCGCAGCAACGGCGGGAAGACUCACCGCCGCUAUCAUAGGCGACGCCACAUCGUCCCCGCAUUUCCCCGUGGUGACCCGAAGGACGCCGAGACCUACAUCGAGCCGCGACUACCUCAAGCGUCACCGCCACCCAAGAUGAUGGCAGGUCGCUCUGCUGCUCCAGCGAUGCAGGGCCACGACGGAGGGUUAUCAAUGAUGUUUUCCAUCAAUGAUAUUUCUAUCUUAAAGGGAGACAACUACCAUAAAUGGUACAGAAAACUAGACCUGUAUUUCAUUAUGGGUGAACUGAAUUCGAGUCCUAGCUACACCAACUCCCACAGAGCCUGUGAUUUCUGUGAGGGAGGACACAGACACAGAUGCUUCUUGGAAGCAAACAGAGCUUUCUUAUAAGAAAGCAAAAGCAGAUUAUGAGAAGCUUUAUGCUAAGUGGGUCCCUGCCAACAACAAAUGCUUGGCAGUGGUAAAAAAUACUAUUGAGCCUGCAAUUAUGGGCUCAAUACCAGAUUGUGCCACUAUCACAGAGUAUCUUGAGAAGUUAAAGAACCAGUAUACUGGUUCUUCAAAGAUUUAUGCUACCCAAUUGAUCAAACAACUGGUUUCAGAAAGAUACAAUGGAGGUGGCAUUAGAGAGCACAUCCAUCGUAUGGUCAACCAGAACAACAAGCUUAAAUCAUUAGACCUUGCCUUCAAGGAGGAUCACAUCAUCCAUUUGGUCUUUGCCUCGUUGCCUAAAGAGUUUGAUACUUUUGUUGUCAACUAUAACACCCAACCACACACUUGGGGAUGUAGAAAAGACCAUCACGAUGUGUGUCCAGGAGGAGGAGAGGAUAAAGUCCGCCAACAACGGAUCUCUCAACUAUGUGAACAGGAAAAGGAAUGCCAACUUCAAAGGCAAUUUUUCUUCUUCCUCCUCUAAAGGAAAAGGCUCUCAGCAGCUUCAACAUAGACCUCAAGAUGGACAGGCUCUAGUAGAGAAGGACCAGUGUCUCUACUGCAAAGAAAAGAGACAUUACAAGAAAAUUGUCACAGGUACUUAAAGAUGAUUAUGCAAAAGAAAGGUGAGAACAUUAUUUCAUUUGUGAAGAAUCCCUGUACAUAGAUUAUUCCAAAACCACUUGGUGCAUUGAUUCAGGAGCAACUAUUCAUGUUGCAAAUUCAUUGCAAGGAUUCCGUUCGACGAGAACCACUCAAAGAAGCGAAAGGCAAAUUAGAGUUGCCAACGAAGCUUAGGCCGAUGUUGAAGUAGUGGGUGAUGUUCACUUGGAACUUGAUACUGGUUUCAUUAUGUUUCUUAGAGAUAUUUUAUAUGUACCCUCUUUACAAAGGAACUUAAUUAGUGUGUCUUGCCUGGACAAAGAUGGUUAUACCUAUCUUUUUGGAGAUGGCAGGUGUUUAAUAGAAUGUAAUGAUACAGUUAUUUCCAUU